rnacentral:rRNA from 1 species
CCUACGGGGGGCAGCAGUGAGGAAUAUUGGUCAAUGGGCGCGAGCCUGAACCAGCCAAGUAGCGUGAAGGAUGACUGCCCUACGGGUCGUAAACUUCUUUUAUAAAGGAAUAAAGUGAGGCACGUGUGCCUUUUUGUAUGUACUUUAUGAAUAAGGAUCGACUAACUCCGUGCCAGCAGCCGCGGUAAUACGGAGGAUCCGAGCGUUAUCCGGAUUUAUUGGGUUUAAAGGGAGCGUAGAUGGGUUGUUAAGUCAGUUGUGAAAGUUUGCGGCUCAACCGUAAAAUUGCAAUUGAUACUGGCAGUCUUGAGUACAGUUGAGGUAGGCGGAAUUCGUGGUGUAGCGGUGAAAUGCUUAGAUAUCACGAAGAACUCCGAUUGCGAAGGCAGCUUACUAAACUGCCACUGACAUUGAUGCUCGAAAGUGUGGGUAUCAAACAGGAUUAGAUACCCGUGUAGUC